CAAAGGCUAUAAAAGUGAUCGGAAUGAGAGAGGAUUAACCAGACAUAGCCUGUGUGCCAUCUUGGAUACUACCUCUUGAUCCAGAAGAAAGACUCCUAUCAACUCUAAACAAUGGCUUCCAAGCUCCUUCUCGUUCUCGCCUUCGCCUCCAUUGCUCUCAUCCUGGUAGCUUCAGCCUCGGAUGAUUUCGAUGUGGAAGUGGUGAAUGAUGACGGAUAUAAACGUGAUCCUGAUCUCAUCAUCGGUAUGGAAGAUAUGGAGAAGAGAGGAAAAGGACGUCCAUUCAUUUUCCCAUACGGCUGGAGAACCAACGGGAAGAAGUAAAUAGCUGACACCGUCGUGGAUUCAGAUCUCAAUUGGAAUGAGGAUGCAUAGCUUUCCAGACACUCCUGACCAAAAUGUUAACUUUAAUUACCUUACGUUUUCUUGUUUCGAACGCAGAAUCGGUUAUUGGUUAUUUUCGUUUUUACAUUAAAUAAGCCACGUGAAGCAUUAAUUGUGCUUGACACAAAUUCAACGAUAAAUGUCUUCCUGAGAGAAACAAAAGUAGCUUUUUAUGUCAUGGUGAAUAAGGAUUGUGUUUGCAUGUAGGGUCUACGUAUGGCUAUAUGUUAAAAAGCAUUGUAAAUCUAUUCGACAUCCAUACUCUCUGUUCUUAACAAAGAUAAAUCGGGUAAGGAUAAUACAUGUAUAAUUCUAUAUAUUUCUAAAAAUAUUGUCACUCUCUUGGCAGCCACAAAGCCUUAGGGGGAUAACAGGAUAGAGAGCAGGAAUACUUGCCAUUGUAGUAUGUGUACUAGUGAAUUCAUGGCGUCAUUAUUUUUUAGUAUGAUACAUGUAAGACCUACGAUCUUUAUCAAUCAUUUUUGGGGGAGGGGCGGUAUGGAUGCAUGUCCACAAUGCAUUGUUUCUAGAACUUGAUUAUAAUAAAUUUUCAUUCAACCAAACAUA